GUGACAGAAAGGACAUGCCGCCAACGAGACAUAUGAGGCCGGGCAGGCGAUUGCUAACGCGGUGGUCAAUCGUGGAUCAGGGAAAGCGAAGGCAGGAGCGUGAGGUGAACUGAAUUUCAGGUAAGAAGUUAUGAACUGCACUCUAUUUGGGUCAGAUAUAAACCGAGUUUAGGUGUAAUUUAUUUUCGUUGACCUUUUACAAUCGUACUGCCACGGGAGUUUAUAUACAGCUGUGUGCGCACUAAGUUACUGACGUUGGACUUUAUUUUAUUCAUUAGGGUUAGUUCAUAGAGUUGCCGUGCCGUACAAACGGAAUCGUCCCACAUUCAGAGAAAACAUUAUGAUUUAUUCUGUCGUUACGAAGCCUCCCCUGUCAUUCUCUCGCGUGUUGAAACGUCAAUCAUGAAACUGAUCAAUGAUCGGCUG
ensembl:lncRNA